rnacentral:misc_RNA from 1 species
UUUCCGUAGGUGAACCUGCGGAAGGAUCAUUAAUGAAAAUUAUAAAAAAACGCCACAGUGAAAUGUGCACGUUUGUUUUUUCAAUCUCUUUUUUUCAUUUUUUUUUGAUUUGAUUCUUUUUUUUUAUAUAAAAAAAAAGAAGAAGAAAGAAUUAAAGUGAAAAAAAAAAGAGAUAUGAAAAAAUAAAAAAACUUUUAAAACCCUUUAAAAAAUAAAAUAUAGUUUGUCAAUUUAAUUUUUUCUUUUUUUUUUAAAAUGACUUUUAUCAAUAGAAAAAAAAGAGAGACGUAAAAUAUAAAAUGAAAAAAAAAACUUUUAACAACGGAUCUCUUGGCUCUC